rnacentral:rRNA from 1 species
AGACCCGAAACCCGGUGAUCUAGCCAUGGGCAGGUUGAAGGUUGGGUAACACUAACUGGAGGACCGAACCGACUAAUGUUGAAAAAUUAGCGGAUGACCUGUGGCUGGGGGUGAAAGGCCAAUCAAACCGGGAGAUAGCUGGUUCUCCCCGAAAGCUAUUUAGGUAGCGCCUCGUGAAUUCAUCUCCGGGGGUAGAGCACUGUUUCGGCUAGGGGGCCAUCCCGGCUUACCAACCCGAUGCAAACUGCGAAUACCGGAGAAUGUUAUCACGGGAGACACACGGCGGGUGCUAACGUCCGUCGUGAAGAGGGAAACAACCCAGACCGCCAGCUAAGGUCCCAAAGUCAUGGUUAAGUGGGAAACGAUGUGGGAAGGCCCAGACAGCCAGGAUGUUGGCUUAGAAGCAGCCAUCAUUUAAAGAAAGCGUAAUAGCUCACUGGUCGAGUCGGCCUGCGCGGAAGAUGUAACGGGGCUAAACCAUGCACCGAAGCUGCGGCAGCGACACUGUGUGUUGUUGGGUAGGGGAGCGUUCUGUAAGCCUGUGAAGGUGGCCUGUGAGGGUUGCUGGAGGUAUCAGAAGUGCGAAUGCUGACAUAAGUAACGAUAAAGCGGGUGAAAAGCCCGCUCGCCGGAAGACCAAGGGUUCCUGUCCAACGUUAAUCGGGGCAGGGUGAGUCGACCCCUAAGGCGAGGCCGAAAGGCG